rnacentral:rRNA from 1 species
CUACGGGGUGCUCCAGGCGAGAAAACUUUGCAAUGUGCGAAAGCACGACAAGGUUAAUCCGAGUGGUUUGUGCUAAACGAACCUUUUGACAGUCCUAGAAACACUGUUGGAUAAGGGGUGGGCAAGUUCUGGUGUCAGCCGCCGCGGUAAAACCAGCACCUCAAGUGGUCAGGAUGAUUAUUGGGCCUAAAGCAUCCGUAGCCGGCUCUGUAAGUUUUCGGUUAAAUCUGUACGCUCAACGUACAGGCUGCCGGGAAUACUGCAGAGCUAGGGAGUGGGAGAGGUAGACGGUACUCGGUAGGAAGGGGUAAAAUCCUUUGAUCUAUUGAUGACCACCUGUGGCGAAGGCGGUCUACCAGAACACGUCCGACGGUGAGGGAUGAAAGCUGGGGGAGCAAACCGGAUUAGAUACCCUCGUAGUC